UGAGAUGGGGGUGUCUCACUGUGUCACCCAGGCUGGAUUGCAGUGGUAUGAUCUCAGCUUAUUGCUCACCGCAGCAUCUACCUCCCAGGCUCAAGCUCCCACCUCAGCCUCCCAAAUAGCUAGGACUACAGGCACACACCAUGCCUGGCUAAUUUUUUGUGUUUUUGGUAGAGACAGGGUUUUGCCAUGUUGCCCAGGCUAGAGUCUUGAACUCCUGACCUCAAGUGAUCUGCCCACCUUGGCCUCCCAAAGUUCUGGGAUUAUAGGCAUGAACUACCCUGCCCAGCCUCUGAAUAUUUUCAUCACCCCCAAAAAGCUCCAUGCCCAUUAGCAGUUAACUCCCCAUUUCUUCCUCCCCCAUCCCUAGACAAUCACUAAUUACUUUCUGUCUCUCUAGACCUUUUCUGGAUAUUUCAUCUAAAUGGAAUCAAUCUGUGUUUUUUCACGACUGGUUUCUUUCACUUAGCAUGUUUUCAAGGUUCAUCCGUAUCAUAUGUAUUUGAUAACUUGUACUGCCAAAUAACAUUCCAUUGUAUGGAUAUAUCACAUUGGAUAAGUCACAUUUUAUUUACUCAUCAGUUGAUGUACAUUUGGGUGAUUUCCACUUUGGGACUAUUGUGAAUAAUGCUGCUACAAAUAUCAUAUAGAAGUUUUUGUAGGCAUAUGUUUUUAGCUCAUUUGGGCACAUACCUAGGAAUGAAAUUGCUGGGUCAUAUGGUAACUCGUACUUUUUUCUUUCUUUCUUUCUUUUUUUGAGACGGAACUUCGCUCUCGUUGCCCAGGCUGGAGUGCAGUCACAUGAUCUCGGCUCACUGCAACCUCCUCCUCCCAGGUUCAAGCAAUUAUUCUGCCUCAGCCUCCCA
rnacentral:lncRNA from 1 species